UACGUAGGGUGCGAGCGUUGUCCGGAUUUAUUGGGCGUAAAGAGCGUGUAGGCGGCCUUACAGGUCAGCUGUGAAAACUCGAGGCUCAACCUCGAGACGUCGGUUGAAACCGUAUGGCUAGAGUCCGGAAGAGGAGAGUGGAAUUCCCGGUGUAGCGGUGAAAUGCGCAGAUAUCGGGAAGAACACCCGUGGCGAAGGCGGCUCUCUGGGACGGUACUGACGCUGAGACGCGAAAAGCGUGGGGGAGCGAACAGG
rnacentral:rRNA from 1 species